CCAUGGGAUUUUCCAGGCAAGAGCACUGGAGUGGGGUGCCAUUGCCUUCUCCGCCUCAAUGAAGUUAGGAUGAUUUUUAUCCACAUUUCACAGAUGAGGAAUUUGAGGCUGUGAGGGGUUAAGAAAAUUGCUCCAAGAUUACAUUGGGACUUGGUGGCAGAGUUGGGGUUCAACCAGCUUCACCUAAUGAUCAGACCUUAACCUCUGCUGCACUGUGCUUUAGUGACUGGGAUCCUCUCCAGGCUGGUACCUCCCAUCUCCAGUUCCAUUCUUAACUGAAAAUGAUAAAGGCAGGAAAGAAGGAAAAGACAGGUUUCCUGAGCAAGUUUGAGCACCCUGAGAAUUAUAGAUAGGUGAGAAGAAACCUGAAGCCAGGAAUAAGAAAUUUUAAAUUACAACUAAUUGAGCAAUAAUAAGGUUGGAAAUUCAUGGUUUAGAGUCAAGCAUGGUGUCGGGACCAGUGGCAACAUUUAUUUUGAAAAGUGUCAAGGACUGCCACCUCCAUUUAGAUGCUUUUAAUAAAUGACAGUCUAAAAUACUCUAAAGAGAAUCCCAGCAGAGACUACAAGCCAAGAGUCUUUGGCUUACAAAAUCAUGGGGGCUGCUACUUCCUAAGUUACCAUGCACGGAAGCAAAACUUGGCAGAAUCAGAGACAAAGGAUUUUGAUCUUGUUCCCACCAUUGCAAAACAAACCGCUGGGUUACCUCCGUUGCUGCUCCUGAGUACCAAGAUCCUGCUAGGCACUGUUUGGAAGAGAAUCCCAUUUAGGUCUAUGCCCCGGGAAGUCAGCCCCUCUAGAGGUAGUCCCCCAAAGACCUAAGUUCAGGGUCUUUUCGACACCUUUUUGUUUUCUGCGGAGUUCUAUUUCUUAAGGAAAUUUUCCACAUGUAAUUGAGCUGCUACUCUGACACCAUUUUCAUUGAGUAACUCAUGGUGAUGUCACACCAGCCAGGCACUAGGGGAAGCCCUGCUUUUAUGGGUUGGCUCUUAAUUUAGGAAUUUUUAUUUUCUGACUUCCCUCUCCCCCCCCCCCCUUUUUUUUUUUUUUUUUGCUGGACUCCACUGCAUUUGAGCAAGAUGCCUGAGUGGUGAAGUGUUGCCUGCUUUUGAGAAAAGGAAUUCCUGCUCGUUGAGAGGCAAAUGGUUGAGUGAAAGCAAGAUAAGCAGCUUCCUGCCAGGGACAAGUACCUCUUCUUGGUGGAGGCUGGAGCCAUGUCGAUGCUGACCUACUUGUCAGUCAAGGCCUGCAUGUGCUGAUGGCAGGCAGACUGACACUCUGGGCUCACAGCCCACACGGAGCCAAGAGGGGAGCCUCUUUCGCUGAGGUGCCCGUGGUAACAUCAGAAGCUUGCUUCGAAGCCAACACCAGCAAGGCCAUGCGUGUGAGCAGCCCGGUUUCUGAACCUGAUCCUGGCAUUGGUUAGACUCACUAGUGAUCUGAUUAAUCAGGGGGAACUCAGAAGUUUUCACUGCCCGGAGCUUUCCCAUGGACAGAGGAGCCUAGCGAGCUACAGCCCGUGGGGUUGAAGAGUCAGGACUGAGCGACUACACAACAACAGCUUUCAUGAAGGCUUCAUGUGUGGCUCUCCCAGGAGCUCUGACAGCCUUCAGGAAAAGCCACCCACCCCCAUCUCGGAGGCCAACCCUUCUGCGUGGUGGCUAGCAGUGACAAAACCAAGAUGAAUCACCAUAUGUCAGGAUCCAUAAAUUGUGAAAAGUCUAAGCAGCAGGUCUGGGAUGAGAGAUCAAGGCCAAAGCCUCUGUCCUCCUGGCAAUUCCACAAGUAAUCCAGAAAAGGAGGAACGAGCAUGCAGAGAAUUUGACCACAGCUGGGAAGUGCGCCAAGAGAACUCUGAAGAACUUGAGUAUUAGCUCCUUCACUUUGUUAGGUUGUUUCUGAUUUUGCACCAUCAAAAGUAAUUCCAUGAGGGCAUUUCUUGGUAGUUAACUGUGGUCAUGCAACUAAUUCCGGACUAUGGAGUGUGGAUGAACGUGAGGUUCAUACUUCCAUGUCUGGACCGUAAAUUUUCCUGAUUGACUCUCCCUGUUCUUCCACCACUACCCCUAUUUGGUGGCUGAAAAGAUGGACUUAACAUAGAAGAAACCUGGAUCCUUGAAUGGCUUCGUGGAGCAGAGUCCCUGAUGAUCUGUACUGGAUAGUGAUAAGGUAAUCACAUGAAAUGGGAUCAAUCAGAAUUCCUUCAGCAGUAUUACAGCCUGUUCAAUAUGUGUCAGAUGGUUUUUUAUGCAUCCCAGCUGUCCAUAAUAAAGACUGAUUGAUGAACAAUGAUGCCAGAGGAAAAACUACAUUUCUUUUGUCCUCUCUAUUAAAAAGUUAUUUAAAAAUCACUGUCAUAUUCAUAACACUGAUCUUAUAGGCUUACUGUGACAUUGAAAUGAGGUCAGGCAUACAAAUACAAAGUACUUGGGUACAAAACCUAUAUAGCAGGUUCCCAUAUAGCAGGAUCAUGUAACAGGCUCAUAUGACAGGAUCCCAGUAAAUAACACCUCUUAAGGAAAAAAAAUAAUUGUCAUAUGAAGAUCAAAGAAUAUACAACCAAGAAAUUUAGUAAACGUGCAUUGGACAUUUAAUUAGAUGUCACAUUUCUCAAUUUUAUAAUGUUUAUGGUAUUUGCAGUCUUCUUAACAUGUAUAAUCUAUUGUGAUUACUUUUCUUAGUCUAAAUAAAUACUUGAUUUAACCUAAUUUUGUAUCUGUAUGGUUUGUAUUAGCUUUUUUUUUUUUUAGCUCCAUCACAUGGCAUGAGGGAUCUUAGUUCUCCGAUCAGGGACUGUACUUGCAUCCCUUGUAUUGGAAGUGCAGAGUCUUAACCACUGGACCACCAGGGAA